UCGAACGAACUCUGGUAUUGAUUGGUGCUUGCAUCAUGAUUUACAUUUGAGUGAGUGGCGAACUGGUGAGUAACACGUGGGAAACCUGCCCAGAAGCGGGGGAUAACACCUGGAAACAGAUGCUAAUACCGCAUAACAACUUGGACCGCAUGGUCCGAGCUUGAAAGAUGGCUUCGGCUAUCACUUUUGGAUGGUCCCGCGGCGUAUUAGCUAGAUGGUGGGGUAACGGCUCACCAUGGCAAUGAUACGUAGCCGACCUGAGAGGGUAAUCGGCCACAUUGGGACUGAGACACGGCCCAAACUCCUACGGGAGGCAGCAGUAGGGAAUCUUCCACAAUGGACGAAAGUCUGAUGGAGCAACGCCGCGUGAGUGAAGAAGGGUUUCGGCUCGUAAAACUCUGUUGUUAAAGAAGAACAUAUCUGAGAGUAACUGUUCAGGUAUUGACGGUAUUUAACCAGAAAGCCACGGCUAACUACGUGCCAGCAGCCGCGGUAAUACGUAGGUGGCAAGCGUUGUCCGGAUUUAUUGGGCGUAAAGCGAGCGCAGGCGGUUUUUUAAGUCUGAUGUGAAAGCCUUCGGCUCAACCGAAGAAGUGCAUCGGAAACUGGGAAACUUGAGUGCAGAAGAGGACAGUGGAACUCCAUGUGUAGCGGUGAAAUGCGUAGAUAUAUGGAAGAACACCAGUGGCGAAGGCGGCUGUCUGGUCUGUAACUGACGCUGAGGCUCGAAAGUAUGGGUAGCAAACAGGAUUAGAUACCCUGGUAGUCCAUACCGUAAACGAUGAAUGCUAAGUGUUGGAGGGUUUCCGCCCUUCAGUGCUGCAGCUAACGCAUUAAGCAUUCCGCCUGGGGAGUACGGCCGCAAGGCUGAAACUCAAAGGAAUUGACGGGGGCCCGCACAAGCGGUGGAGCAUGUGGUUUAAUUCGAAGCUACGCGAAGAACCUUACCAGGUCUUGACAUACUAUGCAAAUCUAAGAGAUUAGACGUUCCCUUCGGGGACAUGGAUACAGGUGGUGCAUGGUUGUCGUCAGCUCGUGUCGUGAGAUGUUGGGUUAAGUCCCGCAACGAGCGCAACCCUUAUUAUCAGUUGCCAGCAUUAAGUUGGGCACUCUGGUGAGACUGCCGGUGACAAACCGGAGGAAGGUGGGGAUGACGUCAAAUCAUCAUGCCCCUUAUGACCUGGGCUACACACGUGCUACAAUGGAUGGUACAACGAGUUGCGAACUCGCGAGAGUAAGCUAAUCUCUUAAAGCCAUUCUCAGUUCGGAUUGUAGGCUGCAACUCGCCUACAUGAAGUCGGAAUCGCUAGUAAUCGCGGAUCAGCAUGCCGCGGUGAAUACGUUCCCGGGCCUUGUACACACCGCCCGUCACACCAUGAGAGUUUGUAACACCCAAAGUCGGUGGGGUAACCUUUUAGGAACC
rnacentral:rRNA from 2 species